rnacentral:rRNA from 1 species
CCUACGGGAGGCAGCAGUGAGGAAUAUUGGACAAUGGGCGCAAGCCUGAUCCAGCCAUGCCGCGUGCAGGAAGAAGCAUCUAUGGUGUGUAAACUGCUUUUGUACAGGAAGAAACACUCCCUCGUGAGGGAGCUUGACGGUACUGUAAGAAUAAGGACCGGCUAACUCCGUGCCAGCAGCCGCGGUAAUACGGAGGGUCCGAGCGUUAUCCGGAAUCAUUGGGUUUAAAGGGUCCGUAGGCGGUUUAAUAAGUCAGUGGUGAAAUCUGGUCGCUCAACGAUCAAACGGCCAUUGAUACUGUUAGACUUGAAUUAUAAGGAAGUAACUAGAAUAUGUAGUGUAGCGGUGAAAUGCUUAGAUAUUACAUGGAAUACCAAUUGCGAAGGCAGGUUACUACUUAUGGAUUGACGCUGAUGGACGAAAGCGUGGGGAGCGAACAGGAUUAGAUACCCUGGUAGUCCACGCCGUAAACGAUGGAUACUAGCUGUUCGGAGCAAUCUGAGUGGCUAAGCGAAAGUGAUAAGUAUCCCACCUGGGGAGUACGUUCGCAAGAAUGAAACUCAAAUGAAAUUGACGGCUGAGACGAGACGACGGACGACGACGAGGGAGGAGG